AUCCCGGGAGGCAGGCGUUAUUGUGCCCAUUUCCUGGAUAAGGAGAAUGAGGUACGCUAAACGAGUAAAAAGCAACCCGAGAUCCAAACCCUUUGGCAUUCAAGAUUACACUCUUAUUCACUAACUGUUCAUCUCCUCCGACUGCAUCGCCACUCCCCCAGGCCAGAUAACCCAUCCAGACCUGGAGAACUCCUAGAGGGAGAAACAGGGAGGACCCAGGCACAUAAACUUGCAGAGCAGCUGAGUUAUCAGAUCUUCCAAGCCAUGGGGUUAUCGAGCUUUAUCAGAGCAGCCUUGCUCUUGCAGUUUCUGACACAUCACCAUUGAUCAGUCCUGGGAAACAAACAAAAUAGAGGGCGAUGGCUCCACUCUGUGUGGCCCCGUCAAUGGCCUGGACGCAGCUGAAAAAAUCCAGAAGAGUGUAGGACACUGGAAAAGUAGCAGGGUGUGCGAUUGCAGGGAUGGGACCAGCAGUAAAAGGUAGCCCUGCCAAGACCAUUAAGCUUCCUGCAACUCCUUCUGGAUCCCACAAUUUGAAGGGGAAAUCUUUCCCACCGCACAUCACUGUUUGGUGGACUAAAUGGCUCCCCGAUGUCCCGAAAGAGCACAGCUUCUGGAAGUGUGGUAUGUGGUCCCUGAGAUGAAGCAGCAGCCACAGGAACCCAUCAUUCCUGCUACCCAAGGCCUCCAUUGCCUGGUUU
rnacentral:lncRNA from 10 species